AGAGGGGUGGCGGCCGCAGCCCGGGUAGGGCCAGAAGACCGUUCCACGUUUGCAAACGCGGCCGCACGCCCAGGCCGACCCCUGCCGCCCGAGCUCCGCGCUGCGUCCGCGCCACUCUCCUCGCCGCCCCGAUGGCGUUCCGGGGCUGGAGGCCCCCGCCGCCACCGCUGCUCCUGCUGCUGCUCUGGGUGACCGGGCAGGCAGCGCCCGUGGCGGGCCUGGGCUCCGACGCGGAGCUGCAGAUCGAGCGGCGCUUCGUGCCCGACGAGUGCCCGCGCACCGUGCGCAGCGGCGACUUCGUGCGCUACCACUACGUGGGGACGUUCCCCGACGGCCAGAAGUUCGACUCCAGGUACUGGGAUACAGCAGAGGAUAAAGCUGACAAAAAUCCCUGCCCUCAAGUCAGGGUUGGGGUGAACACAAGCCCGUCCUGCAGACUUAAGCAGAAAGGAGUGGGAAUUUAUUGGAAGGAUCUCCAAUUCCUUGUGAGGGUCCAGAAUCAUGGACUGAGCUAUGACAGAGACUCCACUUUCAACGUG
rnacentral:sRNA from 1 species